rnacentral:rRNA from 1 species
GACAGAGGGUGCAACCGUUGUUCGGAAUUACUGGGCGUAAAGCGUGUGUAGGCGGCCACGUAAGUCGGAUGUGAAAGCCCCAGGCUCAACCUGGGAAGUGCACUCGAUACUGCGUGGCUUGAGUAUCGGAGAGGUUGGUGGAAUUCUCGGUGUAGAGGUGAAAUUCGUAGAUAUUCGGAAGAACACCGGUGGCGAAGGCGGCUCACUGGCCCGUAACUGACGCUCAUGCACGACAGCGUGGGGAUCAAACAGG